AGAGAGAGACAUGCGCGCAUAUCAAUAAGCGGAGGAAAAGAAACUAACAAGGAUUCCCCUAGUAACGGCGAGUGAAGCGGGAAGAGCUCAAAUUUGAAAUCUUAAAGGGUUUCCCUUUACGAAUUGUAGUUUAAAGAAGUGUUUUCUGUUGAGGUUUUGGUAAAAGUUCUUUGGAAUAGGACAUCAUAGAGGGUGAGAAUCCCGUAUUUGACCUUUACUUUCAACUUUGUGAUACACUUUCAAAGAGUCGGAUUGUUUGGGAAUGCAGUCCAAAAUGGGUGGUAAAUUUCAUCUAAAGCUAAAUAUUGGCGAGAGACCGAUAGCGAACAAGUACCGUGAGGGAAGGAUGAAAAGAACUUUGAAAAGAGAGUUAAACAGUACGUGAAAUUGUCAAAAGGGAAGCGUUUGACACCAGUGUUGUUUUUCUGAAAAUCAAUUAAAGAACUGUUUAUGCUAAGUUGUUUAGACUUUAUCAGCUAACUGUUUAGUUUUGAGCUUUUCUUUAAUGCACUUUUCAGUUAACAAGUCAACAUCAAUUUCUUUUGCUGUAAAAAAGCUUGAGGAAGGUGGCUUGAGAUUCGUCUUAAGUGUUUAUAGCCUCUUGCCUAUGCAGUCGGAGAGAUUGAGGUCUGCAGCGUAGAUCCUUCGGGGCUAAAUGCAUUUGUGCUAAGUUAUAGCAUUUUAUAGACAACUUGUUGACUAUGAUUUGUCUUGUAGCUUACUCGCUUAUGUUAUUUUACCUACGCUUAGGAUGUUGAGCGCAUGUCUCUCUCU
rnacentral:rRNA from 1 species